CCAAUAGCGUAUAUUAAAGUUGUUGCAGUUAAAAAGCUCGUAGUUGAAUUUUAGGCCUGACCGGACGGUCCGUCUUUGGCGAGUACUGUUCUGUUGUCGGGUCUAUCCUUCUGGUGAGCCGGUAUGUCCUUUAUUGGGUGUGUCGGGGAACCAGGACCAUUACCUUGAAAAAAUUAGAGUGUUUAAAGCGGGCUUUUGCUUGAAUAGAUUAGCAUGGAAUAAUAGAAUAGGACGUUGGUUCUAUUUUGUUGGUCUAGGACCACCGUAAUGAUUAAUAGGGAUAGUUGGGGGCAUUAGUAUUCAAUUGUCAGAGGUGAAAUUCUUGGAUUUAUUGAAGACUAACUACUGCGAAAGCAUUUGCCAAGGAUGUUUUCAUUAAUCAAGAACGAAAGUUAGGGGAUCGAAGACGAUCAGAUACCGUCGUAGUCUUAACCAUAAACUAUGCCGACUAGGAAUCGGGCGACGUUAUUUUCAUGACUCGCUCGGCGCCUUAUG
rnacentral:ncRNA from 2 species